rnacentral:rRNA from 1 species
CGGUGGAGCAUGUGGUUUAAUUCGAAGCAACGCGCAGAACCUUACCAGCGUUUGACAUGGAUAGAUGUUUUCCAGAGAUGAUAUAGGCUAUAACAGGUGUGACGAGCGCAACCCUCGCCUUUAGUUACCAUCGGGAUGUCAAGUCUCAUGGCCCUUACGCGCUGGCUACAUACAUGGCGACUACAUGGGCAGCAAUCCCGCGAGGGUGAGCUUCUCCAAAAGUCGUCUCAGUUCGGAUUGUUCUGCAACUCGAGAGCAUGAAGGCGGAAUCGCUAGUAAUCGGGAUCAGCAUGCCGCGGUGAAUACGUUCCCAGGCCUUGUACACACCGCCGUCACACCAUGGGAGUUGGAUUCACCCGAAGGCGUUGCGCUAACUCGCAAGAGAGGCAGGCGACCACGUGGGUUUAGCGACUGGGGUGAAGUCGUACAAGGU